rnacentral:tRNA from 1 species
GCUGGGGUAAUCAAGCCCGGUCAAAAAAUAUGCGAUCUAACCAAAUGGGUCAGUUUGAUAAGAUGCCGGACUUAAGAUCCGGUCGCGUAGGCGUACACGAGUUCGAAUCUCGUCCCCAGCA